GACGUAGGUGGCGAACGUUAUCCGGAAUCAUUGGGCGUAAAGGGUGCGUAGAUGGCAUGAUAAGUUAUUAGUGGGAAAUCGAGGCUCAACCUCGUGGAAGCUAGUAAUACUGUUUUGCUUGAGUACAGAAGAGGUUAACGGAACUCCAUGUGGAGCGGUAAAAUGCGUAGAUAUAUGGAAGAACACCAAUAACGGCGAAGGCAGUUAACUAUUCUGUUACUGACAUUGAGGCACGAAAGCGUGGGGAGCAAACGGG
rnacentral:rRNA from 1 species